UUGACAUGUUUCUAAAGGACUGUUACGGAACCUUUUGAGUUUUUGUCUAGAUGAAGUUCCUGCGCUUCAUGAAGAUGGAUUACUGGGCUGAACACGCUAACAACAAGUGGCUAUUUGGACAUAAAUGACGGACUUUAUGGAACAAAUCAGUCAUUUAUUGUCGACUUGGGAUUCCUGGGAGUGCCUUCUGAUAAAGAUCAUCAAAAAAUAACCCACCAAACCAGGACCAAGCAGCGUGAAAAGGAGGAACAACGCUUAAUGGGGAAAUGGACCUGGGAGGAGAUAUUAGAUGGAGCAGGACCCUGGACACAGCUAGGGGAGUAUCGCCAUCCUAAGGAGGAGUUAGAGGCAGCGGAACGGAACGGCGAUACUACGAGGAGAAAUACCAGAGAAAAUAGGAACAGCGACGAUAUGAAGGUCACUUCCUGAUGAACCAGAGGAUACCUCAGUCAACAGAUGACUCUACAGACGACCUCUACAUAUUACAGCUACAGAUGACCAGCAAGCCACAAAAUCCACAAACUGAUAUCACCUUUCUCAAACCAAUAUCCAACACGUGUUAACUUCAGCAAACAUAUCUGUAAUUUCUGAAACACAACUAGGCCUUAUGUGCUGUCUGAGAGUUAGUCAUGUUUGUUAUGUGAUCUGUUCCAUUAUUAUAUUGAAGGUGUACUUUACCUGAUUAAAUCUUUAUUGUG